UACGGAGGGUGCGAGCGUUGUCCGGAAUCACUGGCGUAAAGGGCGCGUAGCGGUCUGCUAAGCGUGCGGUGAAAGCCUGGGCUCAACCCCAGGUCUGCCGUGCGAACUGGUGGACUAGAGCACUGUAGAGGCAGGUGGAAUUUCGGGUGUAGCGGUGGAAUGCGUAGAGAUCCGAAAGAACACCGGUGGCGAAGGCGGCC
rnacentral:rRNA from 1 species